UUUGAAGCGUGGACGCCAGUCUGCGUGGAGCCGACCUUGAAAUACCACCCUUUAAUGUUUGAUGUUCUAACGUGGACCCGUAAUCCGGGUUGCGGACAGUGUCUGGUGGGUAGUUUGACUGGGGCGGUCUCCUCCUAAAGAGUAACGGAGGAGCACGAAGGUUGGCUAAUCCUGGUCGGACAUCAGGAGGUUAGUGCAAUGGCAUAAGCCAGCUUGACUGCGAGCGUGACGGCGCGAGCAGGUGCGAAAGCAGGUCAUAGUGAUCCGGUGGUUCUGAAUGGAAGGGCCAUCGCUCAACGGAUAAAAGGUACUCCGGGGAUAACAGGCUGAUACCGCCCAAGAGUUCAUAUCGACGGCGGUGUUUGGCACCUCGAUGUCGGCUCAUCACAUCCUGGGGCUGAAGUAGGUCCCAAGGGUAUGGCUGUUCGCCAUUUAAAGUGGUACGCGAGCUGGGUUUAGAACGUCGUGAGACAGUUCGGUCCCUAUCUGCCGUGGGCGCUGGAGAACUGAGGGGGGCUGCUCCUAGUACGAGAGGACCGGAGUGGACGCAUCACUGGUGUUCGGGUUGUCAUGCCAAUGGCACUGCCCGGUAGCUAAAUGCGGAAGAGAUAAGUGCUGAAAGCAUCUAAGCACGAAACUUGCCCCGAGAUGAGUUCUCCCUGAGACUUAGAGUCUCCUGAAGGAACGUUGAAGACGACGACGUUGAUAGGCCGGGUGUGUAAGCGCAGCGAUGCGUUGAGCUAACCGGUACUAAUGAACCGUGAGGCUUAACCUUACA
rnacentral:rRNA from 1 species